rnacentral:rRNA from 1 species
UACGGGGGGGGCAAGCGUUGUUCGGAAUUACUGGGCGUAAAGGGCUCGUAGGCGGCCAACUAAGUCAGACGUGAAAUCCCUCGGCUUAACCGGGGAACUGCGUCUGAUACUGGAUGGCUUGAGAUUGGGAGAGGGAUGCGGAAUUCCAGGUGUAGCGGUGAAAUGCGUAGAUAUCGGGAGGAACACCAGUGGCGAAGGCGACUUCCUGGCCUGUUCUUGACGCUGAGGAGCGAAAGCUAGGGUAGCAAACGGG